AACGGCAACAUAUGGUGACUGAUAGUCGACAUUACGAGUUUAUCACGUCGAAGCUGAAUAUAUAAAUAUAAAUAAUGCUUGUAUAAAACUAGAAAUUUAGGAACACAUUGCUUGAUUCUUGAUAACGAUAAAAGAAUAAUUGUCGAAUGUUUUCCAUGUAGUUUAUGUUGUGUUAUUGUAUUCUGCUCAACCACUGAACGCCACGCCAGGAGUUUAGGCAACAAUUUCUAGACACGUCCAAAAUGGCAUUUCCUCGAAGACUGGUGACUGCAAAAUUAGGGGCUGUUCUUUUGUUGAUUUCGUUAAUAGCUGCGUCGAUUGGAAUCAUCUCGCCAUCGUGGUCUAAAUUUGAUAAUAUAAAUCUAGGAAUUUGGAGGACAUGUUUUGGAAACAAUAACGAAUUUAGGAAUUGUCAUUUAACUAUCGCUCUUCAUAGAACAGAUUUGUUUACUGCUGCUAUGAGUUUCGUGAUAAUUGGCGUUGUAUUUUUGUUUAUAUCAACAUGUGCAGCUUUUUGUGCUACCAGUAGAGUGGUUGGCGCUGUUUUAGGUAUACUAGGAGGUUUGAUGAUUUUUAUCUCUGUUGUGCUGUACUAUGUGAAUGUAUCUUCCAAGCCUGAAAACGAGAUUCUCGACUGGGGUUUCUUCUUGUCAGGGAUGUCCGGGGGUCUUGGUUUUAUAGGCGGAUUGCUCUCAAUACCCGGUCAAUACCAAAAGGUCUAAACAGCUUAUUAAUAAGUAUCAUAUUUCUCAUUGUGUUUAUAAAAGAUUGACCUACAUAUCUGUUACUGUAUUUGCUUGUGAAAGUUGAGAGGAUAUUCCUCGAAUUGUCGCACAAACAAUUUAGUUAUUGUUAUACGAGAAAUGGCUGAAAAGUUCUAAGCCUAUCUGUGAAAGUGUUAUAUGGACUGAUAUAAGAAAUGGGGGCUAAGAAUCGAUAUCACGCUACAGUUCGAAUUGUCGCACAAACAAUUUAGUUAUUGUUAUACGAGGAAUGGCUUAAAAGUUGUAAGCCUAUCUGUGAAAGUGUUAUGUGGAUUGAUAUAAGAAAUGGAAGCUGGAAAUUGAUAUCACGCUACUCGACUCAGUGACAGACCAAGUGAUCUGAUAUGUACGAAAUCAAAUCAGCAGUCGUGGGGUUGGCAGCUGUUAUCCAGUGUCCCCUCCCCCCACCCUCCAUUCAUUAACAGUUUAACCGGAAGUUUCAAGGGGACAAACAAUAAUAAUAAUAACAAAAACAUCGAGAAAACCCCUCAAUACCACAUUCUCGCUUCCAGUUACAAGUUGCAACGAAUUCUCCCCGAAUUAGUUCUGUAAUCAAUCAUAUGUUGGGGAAAAGAACAGAUCGAUUUUUAUAGUUCCAAUUUUGGUUUUACUACACUAGGAUCUGGAAGAGUUGUUAUAUAAAACGUGUUUUAGACGAUGUGAGGAAUUGGCCAAUGAAACGGUCUGUAAUUAUGGCGAGUUUUAGGCAUGAGAUGCACGGAACAGCUGCCACCGAUAAUUCAACCGUAGUGGAACAUCUCCAGAACCAUCCACAACAUAGCGAUAAAUGGAACUUGUUUCAGAUACCCACGGCUAACUAACAGAACAAGAAAACUAGGAAGAUCAUAGACUCUAUAAAUAUUAGAAGAUAUUCACCUGAACUUAAUAUGAACUUAUAUCUUUAGGGCAUAUGAUGAUGUAAUUAUGAUGCAUAAUAUAAUUUAAAUAUGGUGUUUUCUUACAUUGGCUGUAUUAACAUCACCACUUUUUGAUUGUUAAGUUCUCGCUAUUAUAGAUUCUCCCACACCCGUUAUCUUAUUUAUUGGACUUAUUUUGUUUAUUUAAUCAGCUCAUAUUGUGUAUUGUCAUAUUUGUAUUUAUAAAUGCAUAUGUUAUUUUA